GUUUUGUUUUGUGUGUUUGUUUUUUUGCACAAUCAAAUAUAAAUUGUGCUUUUUUUCUGUUGGCCUGUUAUAUGAAAGGCAGGCAAUGGCUCAUGCGGCUGACAUGGCACCUAGUUUUUAUUUUCCUUUUUUUUAACUGUAUUGAUUUUUUUAUAGGUUAGUUUAAGUUUAGGUUGAAUUUUCUUUUCUUUAGGUUGAGUAAGUAGGUUUAAGAUGUAAUUUUGCGUUUACAUUUAAGCUUACUUCGAUCUUUUUAGUAGUAGUAGUAGUCUUAAUCUUACAAUAGUAUCUGUAGUGUGAAUUUAGAUUAGAUUGAUUGAACUAUUUGUAUACCUGUAGGACCAUAGUUGGUUGCCAGUGGAAAGGAAUUUUUCUUCUAUUUGGCGGAACGAUCAGCACGUUCCGUUUAUUGUAUAUGGCAUAGCUACGGCUUACGAGGCUUAUAAAGUCUUUGCUACGAGUAGGUCAGUCCAUACGGGGCUUGAACCAUAGAAUGAUGUGUUGUAAAAUAUAGCCAGUGAAUUCGUUUUGCUAUUUACUUCAGCAUCAAUUUUUUUUGGUAAACAUACCUUUCCACGUCAUCUAAAUUCGUUCAUUUUUGCUUAGCCAUGACAAAGAACCAUAGUUUAGUCGAAGUAAGGUUUUAACCUUACAAUUGAGUAACAUAUAUAACAUAUAUGUAUAACAUAUAUAACAUGUAUAACAUAAAAUAUAAAAUAAUACACACAAAACUUAGGAAUUCUCUUGCGUAGAUCACACUAGAGAGCAUUUAGUUAUGUAAAGUUGAUUACUACACACGGAUGGCUGAUGAUAAAGCUUUUCAUAGGAAGUAUAUGUUGUGCAAUUUGAGCAAAAAAAAAACAAUUGCAUUUUAUAUAAUGUGCAUAUAACCUAAAUGGCUAAUUGCCCUGAUGCCAGGAUAUGUAACAUGACAAAGCCUCAGUUAUAUUACUGUAUACCCAACAUCAACUUUUGCGUUAAACCGUGUAAUCGACAUAACAAUAGUAAAAAUAGCAAUGCAGAUUAUAAAAACUUUUUUGAGCAUCACAUCCGCAAACGACGUUAGCAAACAGGCACGGCAAACACUUCACAAAAAGAACACAAAAUGCACAGGCACAAUGCUACCGUCAGACACACUAACCUAUGUACAUCAAUUCUACAACAAGAUGGUAUACUGUUUGGUGGAACCACACAAGAAGGACCUUCGCAUCGUUAAUACUUGCGACACGCGAACUCAUCAAGAGCUGCUCAAAAGCGAUGAUGCCGCAAAGAAGACAAAGCGAAGGAAAAAAGCAAAGAAAGACAAUAUUGAACAUCGAUUAUCACUCAGGUGGACUGAAGGAAGUGCAGUGAAUAACUAUGAAGUUUCAUUUGAAGUUCGACCAACGGCCAUUAGAAGGUGAUGGACAUGUUUGUACCGGUACAUUGGAAUCUUCGGACCAUUUGCUCCUCCGCCCAGCCAACUGCACUUGCAAAGGAAGGGGGCGCUAAACAGCUUCAACACUGCUUCGUGCAUUCGAUUGUCUGGAGUAUUCGAACUUCUAUGUUUUCUAUUUCAGCCGGUCUAGGUGUUUCAUCAACUUCAUCUAUUGUAAAACAAUUUGAAUUACUCGCGGGGCAAUUUGGACAGAUUUAACAAUGUGUCCAGCUGUGUGCAGCAUGUACUACAAAUUACCCUUUCUUCCGCACAUCCACUAGGAGCACCGGUUCUGUGGUGCAACUCUAUUGAGGAUGUUGCUGACGGUAGCUGGAGCGGUGCUUCAACCGGAUGAGAAUCCUGUAUGGCCUCAAUACACGGAUCAAUCGAGGAUAUUUCGACAGUGGCCAAUGGAGAUGGUUGACGUUCAGCAACGCUGGGUGCAAUCGCCGUGCGGUUGCUUUCCACAGCAGCUUUUAUAGAAACGCCAUCGAAAAAGGCUAGCGGAGGAGCCUCACGGACGUCAACGCUAGAAACUGUCUCCGUGGGAUGUUUUUCCACAGCUCUCUGCCGAUUUUCAGCUACGUCAAUUGUCAACGGAGAUGGUUCACGGACGUUAAUGUUGGACACCGGUACCGUGCAAUGAUUAACAGAUUGUGUUGUUC